UCUCACUGUUGUGGCCUCUCCCGUUGCGGAGCACAGCCUCCGGACGCGCAGGCUCAGCGGCCAUGGCUUACGGGCCCAGGCGCUCCGCGGCAUGUGGGGUCUUCCCGGAGCGGGGCAUGAAGCCGUGUCCCCUGCAUCGGCAGGCGGACUCUCAACCACUGUGCCACCAGGGAAGCCCUGUAGUUUAUUCUUUACAGCGGGGCUAUAUCCUGAAGACUUGAGAAGUGAGAAGCCAAGCUCUGUAAGGACCUUGGAGAUCCUGGAUUCUAGCCGUAAAGGACAUCACCUUUCCAAAAGUUCAUCCACAACACUUUUCCCAAAGGGAUUGUCAAUCAAGGAGUUUCAACUAUCCGCAGUCUCUCAACUCACCUGAGGGUAUUAACAAUGGCUACAGACCAUUUCUAGCCCUCCUUCUGCCCCAGGUUCCUUCCAUCCCCCUGCCCUGAAUACUCCAGCACAGCCAUGACUGAGACCAGGAAAAGCAGUCUCCCUGCAGGUGGAAACCAAUGAAUCCCAGAACAGGAAGAGGUGAGAGGACAAGGAUGCUACCCCCCUUCCCUAGCCUCCCCUGCUCUCCUGCCAGCAGACAAAAACUUAAAGGAUACAGGAGGAGCUUCAGGAAACUGUGAGCAGUGAACCUCUGAACCACAGAGUAGUGAAGAGGAUGAUAACAAGAACCAACCUUUACUGAGUGCUCCUUCUAGAUGAGACAGCACCCUAAGAACUUCAUGUGGAUUCUCCCAUCUAAUCUUCACACUAACACCGUGAGGGAGAUGCUCUCGUAUCUGCAUGUACUGAUGAGGACAC